AUUGCGUCUCAGCCUUUUGGCUAAGAUCAAGUGUAGUAUCUGUUCUUAUCAGUUUAAUAUACACCAUUAACAUGUCAAUUGUUGUUCACAAAAUGGCUUUCCUAGAGUCCAGAGCUCUAGGAUAUCUUGGGUACAGAAGUAGCACACUGAAGACUCAGUAUAAAUACUAAUUUUUAUUUCUUCCUCAAGAU